ACUUUCCUCUGGAGAUCUGACUCUAGAUCUUGGACUCACUUUGCUGAACAGGAGACCAGUGAGUCAAGUUUGUUUACAAAUGAAAUGCCAAGAUGUUUGCCUGACCUCCUAAUGAAAGUCCAAGUGAUCAGUCAUGUCCUACAAGACAAAGGCAGGAUACAGUGAUCAGAAAGCACUCCACUACAGCUUCAGGAAUUAAACUUCAUCUGUAUCUCACUGCAAAUAGAGGAC